rnacentral:lncRNA from 1 species
AGGUCUGUUGUUAUUAGUGUUGUAUUUUUUUUUGUUUAAAGUUCUGAUCCUAUGAGUUGAUUCUAUGCAAAUGGAUGUGGAAAAAGAAUUCUCUUUUUGUUGGUUUUGUUUUUAUGAGAAUGUAUUUUUUCUUUUGUGUUCUGAUUUUGUACCGUAUGUUGCAUUUGUUUUUUCGAUUCUUUGCAAAUACGUGUGAAGG